rnacentral:rRNA from 1 species
UACGUAGGGUGCAAGCGUUGUCCGGAAUUAUUGGGCGUAAAGAGCUCGUAGGCGGUCUGUCACGUCGGCUGUGAAAACCCGAGGCUCAACCUCGGGCCUGCAGUCGAUACGGGCAAACUAGAGUACUGCAGGGGAGACUGGAAUUCCUGGUGUAGCGGUGAAAUGCGCAGAUAUCAGGAGGAACACCGGUGGCGAAGGCGGGUCUCUGGGCAACAACUGACGCUGGAGGAGCGAAAGCGUGGGGAGCGAACAGG